GACGAACGCUGGCGGCGUGCUUAACACAUGCAAGUCGAGCGGUAAGGCCCUUUCGGGGGUACGACGAGCGGCGAACGGGUGAGUAACACGUGGGUGACCUGCCCUCAGCUCUGGGAUAAGCCCGGGAAACUGGGUACUAAUACCGGAUAUGACUCCAUGACGCAUGUUGUGGGGUGGAAAGCCUUGUGCGGCUGAGGAUGGGCCCGCGGCCUAUCAGCUUGUUGGUGGGGUGAUGGCCACCAAGGCGACGACGGGUAGCCGGCCUGAGAGGGCGACCGGCCACACUGGGACUGAGAUACGGCCCAGACUCCUACGGGAGGCAGCAGUGGGGAAUCUUGCGCAAUGGGCGAAAGCCUGACGCAGCGACGCCGCGUGAGGGAUGA
rnacentral:rRNA from 1 species